AUGGAUCUGGAUAAGGCACUAAUGAUGAAGAUUGGGCCGUGGGGAGGGCAUAGCGGUUAUCUUAAGGACAUCAAGGAGGCACCCCUAUGCCUAAACAGUGUCACAAUCCGCAGUGGAAAGGUUGUAUAUUCCCUUGCAUUUUCCUACAGUGAUGGCCAUGGAAAGCAGCACCAUGCAGGCCCAUGGGGAAUAUGCGAAAGCUUUUCUUAUGGGAGGUUUGAUACGAUUCAGCUAAGUUCCUUCGAGUUUUUGGCUGAAAUUUCUGGAACCAUUGGUUUCUCUACCCAAUAUUCUGCCAAUGUGGUAACGUCGAUUAAAUUUAUCACCAAUGUUGGUUCAUAUGGACCUUUUGGAGCUGGAGGAGGAAUUCCUUUCCAUAGUCCACUAUUGGGCAAAGGCAGUAUUGUUGGCUUCUUUGCUCAUGUUGGGAAGGCGCUAGACGCAAUUGGUCUCUAUGUGAAUUCUGAGAGGCAACCAACAAGAGAAGCGGUUUCGAUUAUGAAAGUUGGCCCAUGGGGUGGCAGUUCUGGGUUGUGCAAUGACGUGGCAGUGUUACCCCAGCGUCUUGUAAGUGUGGUGGUUCACAGUGGCGAGGUAGUCAAUUCGCUUUCGUUCACAUAUAGUGAUUGCAAUGGACAAGUGCACAUUGCCGGGCCAUGGGGACGGACGGUUGAGUCUCAUGACGGUAGUUCUCAUCAGAUUCUUCUCGGGGAUUCAGAAUUUCUGAUGGAAAUUUCUGGAACAGUUGGUCCGAGUCCUGACCAUUCAGAUGUUGUAUCGUCACUUUUAUUUGUCACCAAUGCCAGUAGCUAUGGACCAUAUGGACAAGGAGGGGGGACUCGCUUCCAAAGUCCACGUCAGAGAGAUGCUGUCAUCGUUGGCUUCUUUGCCAAUGGUAGAGAAUUUAUUGAAGCAAUUGGUGUCUAUUUUAGCCCACAGGAGGGGACAAACGAAGAAGAGGUACAAAAUUUCUUCCCUUGA
rnacentral:rRNA from 1 species